rnacentral:tRNA from 1 species
GCCCGGUUAGCUCAGCUGGUAGAGCAUCAGACUUUUAAUCUGAGGGUCAAGGGUUCGAGUCCCUUAUCGGGCG